GAUAACCCUUCGUGUGGCGGUGAUGGGAGGCAAGAGGGAAUCCGGUGGGAAACCGGAACUGCCCCGCAGCGGUAACAGGGAACGACGGCGACAUCACGCACUGGCCAGCUGACUGGGAAGCGUCGCUCGGUAGGAACCCGUCUAACGACGGAGGCCCUGAAGUCCGAAUACCUGCCAGUACCCGGGUCAACGA
rnacentral:ncRNA from 2 species